AGCCGAUGAUGUGGAACAUUCCUUUGUAGAUCCUUAAACCGCUCCCAUGCCUCAUAAAGUGACUCCCCCUCAAAUUGGAAAAAAUCAAUUAUCUCCUUGGUUAGCCU